rnacentral:rRNA from 1 species
GGGCGCAAGCCUGAUGCAGCGACGCCGCGUGAGGGAUGACGGCCUUCGGGUUGUAAACCUCUUUCGCCAGGGACGAAGCGUAAGUGACGGUACCUGGAGAAGAAGCACCGGCCAACUACGUGCCAGCAGCCGCGGUAAUACGUAGGGUGCGAGCGUUGUCCGGAAUUACUGGGCGUAAAGAGCUCGUAGGUGGUUUGUCGCGUUGUUCGUGAAAACUCACAGCUUAACUGUGGGCGUGCGGGCGAUACGGGCAGACUGGAGUACUGCAGGGGAGACUGGAAUUCCUGGUGUAGCGGUGGAAUGCGCAGAUAUCAGGAGGAACACCGGUGGCGAAGGCGGGUCUCUGGGCAGUAACUGACGCUGAGGAGCGAAAGCGUGGGGAGCGAACAGGAUUAGAUACCCUGGUAGUCCACGCCGUAAACGGUGGGUACUAGGUGUGGGUUUCCUUCCUUGGGAUCCGUGCCGUAGCUAACGCAUUAAGUACCCCGCCUGGG